CCCUACGGGGCGCAGCAGUGGGGAAUAUUGCCCAAUGGGGGAAACCCUGAUGGUGCGACGCCGCGUGGGGGAAUGAAGGUCUUCGGAUUGUAAACCCCUGUCAUGUGGGAGCAAAUUAAAAAGAUAGUACCACAAGAGGAAGAGACGGCUAACUCUGUGCCAGCAGCCGCGGUAAUACAGAGGUCUCAAGCGUUGUUCGGAAUCACUGGGCGUAAAGCGUGCGUAGGCUGUUUCGUAAGUCGUGUGUGACAGUCGCGGGCUCAACCCGCGGCC
rnacentral:rRNA from 1 species